UGCUCCUGGAGCACAUGCUUCCUCUCUCAGAUAUAUAUCCCAUUCUCCUUUAAUUAUGGAGUAACUGAAUUUUCAUUUCUAUAAGGAGCACUAUUUUUUUAGUGCUCCUGGUUUGUAUUAUAAAAUUCCCUUAUUUACCUGCUUUAUAAUUUACAUUUCCCAUGUGUUAUAAUCUUGCUAAUGUUCACCGGAUCUUAGAUAAUUUCCUAAGAUAAUG
rnacentral:misc_RNA from 1 species